rnacentral:rRNA from 1 species
CAUGACACAAAGUUAAAAGGCGCUUUGGCGUCACCUAGAGAUGGAUCCGCGGUGCAUUAGUUAGUUGGUGGGGUAAAGGCCUACCAAGACCAUGAUGCAUAGCCGAAUUGAGAGACUGAUCGGCCACAUUGGGACUGAGACACGGCCCAAACUCCUACGGGAGGCUGCAGUAGGGAAUCUUCCAGAAUGGGCGAAAGCCUGAUGGAGCAACGCCACGUGUGUGAUGAAGGCUUUCGGGUCGUAAAGCACUGUUGUAUGGGAAGAACAGCUAGAAUAGGGAAUGAUUUUAGUUUGACGGUACCAUACCAGAAAGGGACGGCUAAAUACGUGCCAGCAGCCGCGGUAAUACGUAUGUCCCGAGCGUUAUCCGGAUUUAUUGGGCGUAAAGCGAGCGCAGACGGUUGAUUAAGUCUGAUGUGAAAGCCCGGAGCUCAACUCCGGAAUGGCAUUGGAAACUGGUUAACUUGAGUGCAGUAGAGGUAAGUGGAACUCCAUGUGUAGCGGUGGAAUGCGUAGAUAUAUGGAAGAACACCAGUGGCGAAGGCGGCUUACUGGACUGUAACUGACGUUGAGGCUCGAAAGUGUGGGUAGCAAACAGGAUUAGAUACCCUGGUAGUCCACACCGUAAACGAUGAACACUAGGUGUUAUGAGGUUUCCGCCUCUUAGUGCCGAAGCUAACGCAUUAAGUGUUCCGCCUGGGGAGUACGACCGCAAGGUUGAAACUCAGAGGAAUUGACGGGGACCCGCACAAGCGGUGGAGCAUGUGGUUUAAUUCGAAGCAACGCGAA